rnacentral:rRNA from 1 species
AGCAGUAGCCACGGUAAUACAGAGGGUGCGAGCGUUAAUCGGAUUUACUGGGCGUAAAGCGUGCGUAGGCGGCUAAUUGAGUCGGAUGUGAAAUCCCCGAGCUUAACUUGGGAAUUGCAUUCGAUACUGGUUAGCUAGAGUGUGGGAGAGGAUGGUAGAAUUCCAGGUGUAGCGGUGAAAUGCGUAGAGAUCUGGAGGAAUACCGAUGGCGAAGGCAGCCAUCUGGCCUAACACUGACGCUGAGGUACGAAAGCAUGGGGAGCAAACAGGAUUAGAUACCCCAGUAGUCCCUGUCUCUUAUAC